rnacentral:rRNA from 1 species
CCUACGGGUGGCUGCAGUGAGGAAUAUUGGUCAAUGGUCGUAAGACUGAACCAGCCAAGUAGCGUGCAGGAUGACGGCCCUAUGGGUUGUAAACUGCUUUUAUGAGGGGAUAAAAUGCGUCACGUGUGAUGUUUUGUAGGUACCGCAUGAAUAAGGACCGGCUAAUUCCGUGCCAGCAGCCGCGGUAAUACGGAGGGUCCGGGCGUUGUCCGGCUUUAUUGGGAGUAAAGGGAGUGUAGGCGGUGUGGUAAGCCAGUAGUGAAAGGCUAGAGCUCAACUAUGGUAAGGCUAGGGGUACUAUAAUACUAGAGUAUCAGAGAGGAUUGCAGAAUUCCUGGUGUAGCGGUGAAAUGCGUAGAUAUCAGGAGGAAUACCGUUAGCGAAGGCGGCAAUCUGGCUGGAAACUGACGCUGAGGUGCGAAAGCGUGGGUAGCAAACAGGAUUAGAUACCCCAGUAGUC